GAUGAAGAACGUAGCGAAAUGCGAUAAGUAAUGUGAAUUGCAGAAUUCAGUGAAUCAUCGAAUCUUUGAACGCACAUUGCGCCCGCCAGUAUUCUGGCGGGCAUGCCUGUUCGAGCGUCAUUACAACCCUCAGGCCCCCGGGCCUGGCGUUGGGGAUCGGCGGAAGCCCCCUGUGGGCACACGCCGUCCCUCAAAUACAGUGGCGGUCCCGCCGCAGCUUCCAUUGCGUAGUAGCUAACACCUCGCAACUGGAGAGCGGCGCGGCCAUGCCGUAAAACACCCAACUUCUGAAUGUUGACAUCGAAUCAGGUAGGAAUACCCGCUGAACUUAAGCAUAUCAAUAAGCGGAGGA
rnacentral:misc_RNA from 1 species